GAAAGAGUCUAGCUAGCCACUCAUCCCGUCAUCACAAAAGGAAAGAAAGCAUUUUUACACCCAAAAACCCAGCUGCUAAGAGCGAGCUAUGGACCACGCAACAGGUGCCAUGGGUAGCCUGAUCCUCAAGCUCGGCGAACUCCUCAAGGAGGAGUACAAACUGCAGACUAGAGUCAAGGAAGACGUCAAAGAUCUCAAUAGAGAGCUGGAGAGCAUGCAAGCUGAGCCGCCGGGUCACCAAACAUCUCAUAGUGGGAACCUGAGGUGAAAAACGAUUCGUCCCGUCCGCUCCCGCGAGCGGCUGGGCGAAGCCCUAGGCGCCGUCGGCCCUAGCCCUCCCCUACCUCUCCUUCCCCUUGCCGCCGCCGGAGGGCGCGGCCGGGCAAAGCCUAGUCCGCUCGGCGGCGGCGGGGCUCUCUUCCCUCCUGGCUUGGCUGCGCGCGGCGCGCGAUGCGGUGGUCGGCGGGAGCGCCGUACUCGGC
rnacentral:rRNA from 1 species